UAUGGUAAUUGGUGCCACGCCGCGGUCAUACGUAGGGAGCAAGCGUUGUCCGGAUUUACUGGGUGUAAAGGGUGCGUAGGCGGCUUUGCAAGUCAGAUGUGAAAUCUAUGGGCUCAACCCAUAAACUGCAUUUGAAACUGUAGAGCUUGAGUGAAGUAGAGGCAGGCGGAAUUCCCCGUGUAGCGGUGAAAUGCGUAGAGAUGGGGAGGAACACCAGUGGCGAAGGCGGCCUGCUGGGCUUUAACUGACGCUGAGGCACGAAAGCGUGGGUAGCAAACAGG
rnacentral:rRNA from 1 species